CCUACGGGGUGCAGCAGUGAGGAAUCUUGGUCAAUGGGCGGAAGCCUGAACCAGCCAAGUCGCGUGAGGGAUUAAGGCCCUGCGGGUCGUAAACCUCUUUUGCCGGGGAGCAGUGGUCCGGACGCGUCCGGACCGGGAGAGUACCCGGAGAAAAAGCAUCGGCAAACUCCGUGCCAGCAGCCGCGGUAAUACGGAGGAUGCGAGCGGUAUCCGGAUGUAUUGGGUUUCAGGGGUGCGCAGGCGGAAGAUCAAGUCAGCGGUAAAAUUGAGAGGCUCAACCUCUUCGAGCCGUUGAAACUGGUUUUCUUGCGUGAGCGAGAAGUAUGCGGAAUGCGUGGUGUAGCGGUGAAAUGCAUAGAUAUCACGCAGAACUCCGAUUGCGAAGGCAGCAUACCGGCGCUCAACUGACGCUCAUGCACGAAAGUGUGGGUAUCGAACAGGAUUAGAUACCCGAGUAGUC
rnacentral:rRNA from 1 species